AGAGUUUGAUCCUGGCUCAGAACGAACGCUGGCGGCAGGCUUAACACAUGCAAGUCGAACGAAGUCUUCGGACUUAGUGGCGCACGGGUGAGUAACACGUGGGAAUAUACCUCUUGGUGGGGAAUAACAUCGGGAAACUGAUGCUAAUACCGCAUACGCCCUUCGGGGGAAAGAUUUAUCGCCGAGAGAUUAGCCCGCGUCCGAUUAGCUAGUUGGUGAGGUAAUGGCUCACCAAGGCGACGAUCGGUAGCUGGUCUGAGAGGAUGAUCAGCCACACUGGGACUGAGACACGGCCCAGACUCCUACGGGAGGCAGCAGUGGGGAAUAUUGGACAAUGGGCGAAAGCCUGAUCCAGCCAUGCCGCGUGAGUGAUGAAGGCCUUAGGGUUGUAAAGCUCUUUCACCCACGACGAUGAUGACGGUAGUGGGAGAAGAAGCCCCGGCUAACUUCGUG
rnacentral:rRNA from 1 species